rnacentral:lncRNA from 1 species
CCUUCUUGUCUUAGGGCAAUUCGACAAGUGACCAAGUGUUGUUGACUUUGAUUGACUUCAACUCUUUGUUCAUUGCUUUCAUCCACUUCAAAUCUUUCAAUGCCUCAACUGUAUUGACUGGUUCGACAUCUGCGUAGAAAGCAUAAUGUACUAGUUCAUCUUCUUCAUUGACCACAUCAUCUGAUGUAAUCACACAUUAUUGAAUCUGUAGCGGUAAAUUCAUG